UGCCAGCCGCCGCGGUAACACCAGCGCCACAAGUGGCAAUCAGUUUUAUUGGGCCUAAAGCGUCCGUAGCCGGUUUGAAAAGUCUUUUGUGAAAUCGUUAGGCUUAACCUAGCGGCAUGCAGGAGAUACUAUCAAACUAGAGACCGGGAGGAGUCAAAGGUAUUCAGGGGGGAGCGGUAAAAUGCUAUAAUCCCUUGAGGACCACCGAUGGCGAAGGCAUUUGACUAGAACGGAUCUGACGGUGAGGGACGAAAGCCAGGGGAGCAAACCGGAUUAGAUA
rnacentral:rRNA from 1 species